rnacentral:rRNA from 1 species
GACGUAGGAUGCGAGCGUUAUUCGGAUUUAUUGGGCGUAAAGCGUGCGUAGGCGGCUGUUUAAGUCUGGUGUUAAAGCUAGGGGCUCAACCCCUGUGGUGCAUCGGAUACUGGGCAGCUUGAGUGCGGUAGGGGAAGGUGGAAUUCCGAGUGUAGCGGUGAAAUGCGUAGAUAUUCGGAAGAGCACCGGUGGCGAAGGCGACCUUCUGGGCCGCAACUGACGCUGAGGCACGAAAGCCUGGGGAGCGAACGGG